GUGGGGAAUCUUAGACAAUGGGCGCAAGCCUGAUCUAGCCAUGCCGCGUGAGCGAUGAAGGCCUUAGGGUUGUAAAGCUCUUUCGUGGGGGAAGAUAAUGACUGUACCCCAAGAAGAAGCCCCGGCUAACUCCGUGUCAGCAGCCGCGGUAAUACGGAGGGGGCUAGCGUUGUUCGGAAUUACUGGGCGUAAAGCGCACGUAGGCGGACUGGAAAGUCAGGGGUGAAAUCCCGGGGCUCAACCCCGGAACUGCCUUUGAAACUCCCAGUCUUGAGGUCGAGAGAGGUGGGUGGAAUUCCGAGUGUAGAGGUGAAAUUCGUAGAUAUUCGGAGGAACACCAGUGGCGAAGGCGGCCCACUGGCUCGAUACUGACGCUGAGGUGCGAAAGCGUGGGGAGCAAACAGGAUUAGAAACCCGUGUAGUCC
rnacentral:rRNA from 1 species